UCCGAUCGCAGAGCACAAGAC
rnacentral:piRNA from 1 species